rnacentral:tRNA from 2 species
GAGAACGAGAGGGCGGAUGUAGCCA